rnacentral:rRNA from 1 species
GACGAACGCUGGCGGCGUGCUUAACACAUGCAAGUCGAACGGAAAGGCCCUGCUUUUGUGGGGUGCUCGAGUGGCGAACGGGUGAGUAACACGUGAGUAACCUGCCCUUGACUUUGGGAUAACUUCAGGAAACUGGGUCUAAUACCGGAUAGGAGCUCCUGCUGCAUGGUGGGGGUUGGAAAGUUUCGGCGGUUGGGGAUGGACUCGCGGCUUAUCAGCUUGUUGGUGGGGUAGUGGCUUACCAAGGCUUUGAAGGGUAGCCGGCAUGAGAGGGUGACCGGCGAAAUUGGGACAGAGAGACGGACCAGAAUACUAGGGGAGGCAGCAGUGGGGAAUAGUGCACAAUGGGAGGAAGCCUGAUGCAGAAAAGCCGCGAGCGGGAUGAAGGCCUUCGGGUUGUAAACAGCUUUAGCAUGUGAAGAAGAGUGAGUGACGGUAAUGGGUAAAGAAGCACCGGCUAACUACGUG